rnacentral:rRNA from 1 species
GUGGGGGAUAUUGCGCAAUGGGGGAAACCCUGACGCAGCAACGCCGCGUGAAGGAAGAAGGUCUUCGGAUUGUAAACUUUUUUGACGAGGGACGAAAAAAAUGACGGUACCUCGAAAACAAGCUCCGGCUAACUACGUGCCAGCAGCCGCGGUAAUACGUAGGGAGCGAGCGUUGUCCGGAAUUACUGGGUGUAAAGGGCGUGUAGGCGGGCUGUCAAGUCAGAUGUGAAAUUCCCGGGCUUAACCUGGGCGCUGCAUUUGAAACUGAUGGUCUUGAGUGCUGGAAAGGAGAGCGGAAUUCCUAGUGUAGCGGUGAAAUGCGUAGAUAUUAGGAGGAACACCAGUGGCGAAGGCGGCUUUCUGGACAGUAACUGACGCUGAGGCGCGAAAGCGUGGGGAGCAAACAGGAUUAGAAACCCCUGUAGUCC